GAGGCUAUAACUCAGUGGUAGAGCGCAUGCUUAGCACGCACAAGGCCCUGGGUUCAAUCCCCAGUACCUCCA
rfam:Camelus ferus unplaced genomic scaffold scaffold1443, whole genome shotgun sequence.